GGGUUGUGAGGUUAAGCGACUAAGCGUACACGGUGGAUGCCCUGGCAGUCAGAGGCGAUGAAGGGCGUGCUAAUCUGCGAUAAGCGCCGGUAAGGUGAUAUGAACCGUUAUAACCGGCGAUACCCGAAUGGGGAAACCCAGUGUGAUUCGUCACACUAUCAUUAACUGAAUCCAUAGGUUAAUGAGGCGAACCGGGGGAACUGAAACAUCUAAGUACCCCGAGGAAAAGAAAUCAACCGAGAUUCCCCCAGUAGCGGCGAGCGAACGGGGAGGAGCCCAGAGCCUGAAUCAGCAUGUGUGUUAGUGGAAGCGUCUGGAAAGGCGCGCGAUACAGGGUGACAGCCCCGUACACAAAAGCGCAUGUGCUGUGAGCUCGAUGAGUAGGGCGGGACACGUGGUAUCCUGUCUGAAUAUGGGGGGACCAUCCUCCAAGGCUAAAUACUCCUGACUGACCGAUAGUGAACCAGUACCGUGAGGGAAAGGCGAAAAGAACCCCGGCGAGGGGAGUGAAAAAGAACCUGAAACCGUGUACGUACAAGCAGUGGGAGCACCCUUCGGGGUGUGACUGCGUACCUUUUGUAUAAUGGGUCAGCGACUUAUAUUCUGUAGCAAGGUUAACCGAAUAGGGGAGCCGGAGGGAAACCGAGUCUUAAUUGGGCGUUAAGUUGCAGGGUAUAGACCCGAAACCCGGUGAUCUAGCCAUGGGCAGGUUGAAGGUUGGGUAACACUAACUGGAGGACCGAACCGACUAAUGUUGAAAAAUUAGCGGAUGACCUGUGGCUGGGGGUGAAAGGCCAAUCAAACCGGGAGAUAGCUGGUUCUCCCCGAAAGCUAUUUAGGUAGCGCCUCGUGAAUUCAUCUCCGGGGGUAGAGCACUGUUUCGGCUAGGGGGCCAUCCCGGCUUACCAACCCGAUGCAAACUGCGAAUACCGGAGAAUGUUAUCACGGGAGACACACGGCGGGUGCUAACGUCCGUCGUGAAGAGGGAAACAACCCAGACCGCCAGCUAAGGUCCCAAAGUCAUGGUUAAGUGGGAAACGAUGUGGGAAGGCCCAGACAGCCAGGAUGUUGGCUUAGAAGCAGCCAUCAUUUAAAGAAAGCGUAAUAGCUCACUGGUCGAGUCGGCCUGCGCGGAAGAUGUAACGGGGCUAAACCAUGCACCGAAGCUGCGGCAGCGAACGUAUCACCCAAGACAACUUUGCGGAGUUGACGAUUGACGGAGCGAAGCGACGUCAAAGCGUUCAUUAAAGUCGAGUUGGCUUAGGGAUACGUUCGUUGGGUAGGGGAGCGUUCUGUAAGCCUGUGAAGGUAUGCUGUGAGGCAUGCUGGAGGUAUCAGAAGUGCGAAUGCUGACAUAAGUAACGAUAAAGCGGGUGAAAAGCCCGCUCGCCGGAAGACCAAGGGUUCCUGUCCAACGUUAAUCGGGGCAGGGUGAGUCGACCCCUAAGGCGAGGCCGAAAGGCGUAGUCGAUGGGAAACGGGUUAAUAUUCCCGUACUUGGUGUUACUGCGAAGGGGGGACGGAGAAGGCUAUGUUGGCCGGGCGACGGUUGUCCCGGUUUAAGCGUGUAGGUGUGUGUUCCAGGUAAAUCCGGUUCACUUUAACACUGAGGCGUGACGACGAGGCACUACGGUGCUGAAGCAACAAAUGCCCUGCUUCCAGGAAAAGCCUCUAAGCAUCAGGUAACAUCAAAUCGUACCCCAAACCGACACAGGUGGUCAGGUAGAGAAUACCAAGGCGCUUGAGAGAACUCGGGUGAAGGAACUAGGCAAAAUGGUGCCGUAACUUC
rnacentral:rRNA from 1 species